GAUGAACGCUGGCGGCGUGCCUAAUACAUGCAAGUCGAGCGAACAGACGAGGCGCUUGCUCCUCUGACGUUAGCGGCGGACGGGUGAGUCACACGUGGAUACUCUACCUAUAAGACUGGGAUAACUUCGGGACACCGGAGCUAAUACCAGAUAAUCUAUUGAACCGUAUGGUUCAUUAGUGAAAGACGGCUUUGCUGUCACUUAUAGAUGGAUACGCGCCGCAUUAGCUAGUUGGUAAGGUAACGGCCUAUCAAGGCAACGAUGCGUAGCCGAACGGUGAGGCGGAUCGGCCACACGGGAACUUAGACACGGUCCAGGCGCCUGCGGGAGGCAGCAGUAGGGAAUCGGACGCAAUAGGCGAGAACCUGACGGAGCAACGCCGCGUGAGUGAUGAAGAUCUUCGGAUCGUAAAACUCUGUUAUUAGUGAUGAACAAAUGUGGAAUUAACUAUGCACUUCUUGACGGUACCUAGUCAGAAAGCCACGGCUAACUACGUG
rnacentral:rRNA from 1 species